UUGAGGGUGUACUGCCAGGUGUCCUCGGACUGGGUUACAGUUUCAUCGCCGAAAUGGUCGCCAUCGGCGAGGACAUCGUAGACGAUUUGCUCGCCAUACUUGCCAAGACCAAUCUUGUUCACCUUACCACGAGCAAUUAGAAUUAUGCGAUCGGCGGGCUGACCAAUCUCUACAAUUACAUCGUCUGGGGCGUAUUCUUGCUGCUGAAACUGGUUUGCUAAGCCGGUCAAGACAUCAACUUCGCCAAAUCCGCGCAGUAAGGGCAAUUCAGUUAGUUCUUGCGGAAUUACCUGGACUGCUGCUCCGGUAUUGGUGAAACUCACCCGCCCAUCACCUACGGUAUAACUCAACCGACGGUUGACUCGAAAAGUGCCACCUUUAGUUUGUACAAAAGGCAACAGCUUCAACAACCAUCGUGAUGUAAUUUCCUGGGUCUGCGGUGCAGAUUUGGCUGUUGUCGCCAAAUUACGCGCCGCUGCUGUACUCAAACUUUGCUGUGGCUGCUG
rnacentral:antisense_RNA from 1 species